rnacentral:rRNA from 1 species
AUUGAACGCUGGCGGCAGGCCUAACACAUGCAAGUCGAACGAGCGGCGGACGGGUGAGUAAUGUAUGGGGACUGCCCGAUAGAGGGGGAUAACUACUGGAAACGGUAGCUAAUACCGCAUACUAUCGGAUAACCCAGAUGGGAUUAGCUAGUGGGUGGGGUAACGGCGCACCUAGGCGACGAUCCCUAGCUGGUCUGAGAGGAUGAUCAGCCACACUGGAACUGAGACACGGCCCAGACUCCUACGGAGGCAGCAGUGGGGAAUAUUGCACAAUGGGCGCAAGCCUGAUGCAGCCAUGCCGCGUGUAUGAAGAAGGCCUUAGGGUUGUAAAGUACUUUCAGCCAGGAGGCGUUACCCGCAGAAGAAGCACCGGCUAACUCCGUGCCAGCAGCCGCGGUAAUUC